rnacentral:lncRNA from 1 species
UUUUCCUUUUCCUCUGGGAGUAAGAGUUUAGUUUCAUUAUGACAACUAAAAUCCUAAAAUUAUUCCAAUAAGCACUAUGAACUUCAAUCGAGACUAGAACUCUUGGGAAUUGCUCUAUAAAUAAGAUCUCAUCUACCUUAUUUUUAGAUUUUUCAUUCUUUCUGCUUCUCUAAUAGCCAUGAGUAUUCAAGAAAACCAGGUGCAUGAUGUUCCUUCUUCACCUUCAUCAUCACUACCUAAAUCUAGACAUAGGUCAAGAUUAUCCACACCACACCCAGAUAGAUUUGUGAAGCAGGGUUUCUCCUUACCUCGUUCAACAUCCAUUAAAAGAUGGGCAUCAUUCUAUAGGAAAAGAAAACCAUGGAUCCAAGACCGAAGGAGUUUACUGCAAUAUUAGCUUAUCAAAUAGCAUAUCCCAAAACCCAUAAACAAGUCUAUACUUUAAAGAAAAUAGUGGAGAAUGAGCGUCGUGAAAGUGCUUACUAAGAGAGAUAUUUGUACGAAGAUAACACUUUGGAUGAAGAUCCAAAAUCUGAUGCAAAUAUAGAGAGUGAUCCUAGCGAACCUAGUGAUUGGGAAGGUCGAGAAGCCACCCCACUUACCCUAAGACCUUGAGGUCAUCCUAGGAAGCGUGAUUGUGUCAUCUCGACACCAAAAGAGGACAAGAACAUCCAAGAAAAGUUCUGCAGCCUCCUAAAGUUAAGAGAGGGAGAGGACGCUCAAGGAAGCCAUUCUUUUGGUCUUUUAGUUAGUUGAUUGUUAUUUAGUUUCGUUUAGGAUUUAGAGUCGAGUUGUUUUAGUUUUGAUUAGUUCUUUAUAUUUAAUGAUAAGUUUAAUUUCUUUCAAUUUAAAUUUUAUUUGGUAUUUAAACAUGUUUAUGUGCAUUUUCAUUUGUCAAUUUUAUUUAUGAUUGAAUAAGGCAUAUGCAAGUUAGUUGCAUGAUUCCUUUCAAAAGAAAAAUGUGAAUAUACAUAAUAUUAUGCGCCACACAGGGAGCCACACGGCCGUGUCUCUUCC